GGUAAAAAAGCUCGUAGUUGGAUUUCUGUUGAGGAUGGGCGGUCCGCACCAUGUGCGCCGAUCUGCUUCAGCCUCGGCAUCCUCUCGAAAGACGCUUUUGCGCUUCAUUGCGUGGAGCGGAUCUCGGGACUUUUACUUUGAGGAAAUUAGAGUGUUCACGGCAGGCUUUCGCCCGAAUACAUUAGCAUGGAAUAAUACUAUAGGAUCUCGAUUCUAUUUUGUUGGUUUCUAGAAGCGAGAUAAUGAUUAAUAGGGACAAUUGGGGGCAUUCGUAUCAACACGUCAGAGGUGGAAUUCUUGGAUUGUGUUGCGACGAACUACUGCGAAAGCAUUUGCCAAGGAUGUUUUCAUUGAUCAAGAACGAAAGUAAGGGGAUCGAAGAUGAUUAGAUACCGUCGUAGUCUUUACCAUAAACUAUGCCGACUAGAGAUGGGGCAUCGUUCAUUUACGACUUGCUCCGCACCUUAUGAGAUAUCAAAGUCUUUGGGUUCCGGGGGGAGUAUGGUCGCAAGGCUGAAACUUAAAGGAAUUGACGGAAGGGCACCACCAGGAGUGGAGCCUGCGGCUUAAUUUGACUCAACACGGGGAAACUCACCAGGUCCAGACAUAAUAAGGAUUGACAGAUUGAUAGCUCUUUCUUGAUUUUAUGGGUGGUGGUGCAUGGCCGUUCUUAGUUCGUGGAGUGAUUUGUCUGCUUAAUUGCGUUAACG
rnacentral:rRNA from 1 species